CCUACACCAAACUAUUUGAAACAACCCAUAUUCCACCACGGAGAUUUUAAAUUUGAACUUCAUCCUAUUUCUAACUAUAAUUAAAAUAUCUUUUAAUACCUAUAUUUACCUCUUCCCUUUCCUAUUUUACUCUGAGCUUACUAUUAAGCUACACUUUUCAGACAUAUAUUUAUCCAUCCCAAUUAAAUUAGGAUUUAAUCGUGAUAGAUUUCGCCUACAAAUCCCUUUUAAUUUAAGUUUUUAAGGUACAAGUUAAAAUAAAAAAAAAGUUCACGUGGCUAUCACUUCGUGAAUAGUAAUUUUUGCAUAGUACACGCUAAUUGCGGUAUUUAGAUUUCCGACUAGAAAAAAUUCUAAAAAAUCCAGAAAAAUCAAUUCCCAAAGGAUUUGUCUGAAUUCUUCAAGUUCAAAAUCUUCAGCUACUUCCUGAUGUCUUUCUAGGGUUAAAAACAUUCUGUGGGUCUGAUCAUGGGUCAUUUCUCUUUCGUCGUUGUCUUCUGUUUCCAAUGUGUCGUCGGAUAAUGUUUCUUCCUCGUCUCUUUGUCUGUCUUGUUCUAUGGCACUGAACCUGUGACGCCCCAACUUUCCAGAGGGUCACCCAUCCUAGGACUACUCCCGUUCUAGCACGCUUAACUCUCUUAACCUCUUGGGCCUUGCCACCACCCAAAAUGCUUAAGCCGG
rnacentral:lncRNA from 1 species